rnacentral:rRNA from 1 species
UUGAACGCUGGCGGCAUGCCUUACACAUGCAAGUCGAACGGUAGAGGGGCAACCCUUGAGAGUGGCGAACGGGUGAGUAGUAUAUCGGAACGUGCCCAGUCGUGGGGGAUAACGCAGCGAAAGCUGCGCUAAUACCGCAUACGAUCUAUGGAUGAAAGCGGGGGAUCGCAAGACCUCGCGCGAUUGGAGCGGCCGAUAUCAGAUUAGGUAGUUGGUGGGGUAAAA